ACACACACAAUAGGUGUAUAUAUUUAUGUAAAGUAAACAGUCGUACCGACAACAAUAACAACGAGAACGAGGAUCAACUCUAACUUUAAACACGGAACAAGAACGAACUUCGAACUACGGAGGUGAAGCGUGAAACGUGUGUUAGUAGUGGUGGUCCCUUGCUAGGCGCGCGUGUGUAUAUAUAUAGAUAUAUAUAUAGAUAUAUAUAUAGAUAUAUAUAUAUAUAUAUAUAUAUAUAUAUAUGUUCGAUUUGAGGAAGAGAAGAUCGAAUUCUGGUUUGUCAAACUGAAAAGUUGAAAGUUCGACGAACUUUUAAUAUCAACAAUACCGACAACAAAAAGGUAGCGAGGAAACCUCGACGUGGUCGCUGGUCUUUGCUAGAAAAAGUAAAAAAGACUCACUCAAACACACAAAUAUAUAUAUACACAUGCUCUUUCACACACACACACACACACACAUAUAUAUAUAAACACGUACCCCGACACACCUUAAUGUCUUUGUAAAACACACACGCAAAAAGAAAAGAGGAAAACCAUAAGAGAAACAAGGACACGUUAGGUAACGGAGUCCUAGGUACACUGUGCCUGAAUCUCGGAAAGAAAAAAAAAGAAAGACGGACGCAAAAGGACGGUUGCGGCUGGCUGGAACCGUCUACCUUGGAUACCAAACUCACCUGUGGCUGAACAUCAACGACCCGAUUAGCGAAAGCAUCGCCACCCGUAUAUAUAUGAAGACAGGGCUGGAGUACAUGUGGUGUGUUUUACAAAAGGACUAUUUUCUCAAGAGAGACCCUUAAAACAGAAAGGAAAAAAAAAAUCCCACAAAAACCUGUUCAAACAGGUGAGAGACGCCCUUUUUGUUUUCGUUCGCUUUGUUGUAUUUUUAUUUAUUAUUUACCUUUAAAUAUUUCUUUCUUUCCCUCUGCUCUCUUUUCUCCUUGUCUUUCUUUCUUUCUUUCUUUCUUUCUUUCUUUCUUUCUUUCUUUCUUUCCCUCUUUUCUCCUUGUACUUCUUUCUUUCUUUUUCUUUCUUUCUUUCCCUCUUUUCUCCUUGUACUUCUUUCUUUCUUUUUCUUUCUUUCUUUCUUUCUUUCUUUCUUUCUUUCUUUCUUUCUUUCUUUCUUUCUUUCUUUCUUUCUUUCUUUCUUUCCCUCUGUCCUCUUUUCUCCUUGUACUUCUUUCUUUCUUUCUUUCUUUCUUUCUUCCUUGCUUCGUUCGUUCGUUUCUUUCUUUCUUUCCUUCAUCUCUCUGUUCCCUUCUCUCUCUCUUUUCUGUCUGUCUCCCCCUCUCUAAAGCAGUGUUUUUAGCCUUUUUAAAACUUACUCUGUAUGCCUCCUCACCCCACCCAUAAAAGCAAAAAAAACAACAAAAAACAAAAACCCCUUCUGUUUCUCAUUUUGGAGGAGGAUCCUGAGAAGACUGAAAACAGGCGGGGGGGGGGGGAACCGACCAAAUGGCCAUCUGUAAUAGAAUUAAGAUAGUUUUAAAACUUUCAAAACCUAUCCAACCCUGACUGGCGAAGAAUGAAGAAUUAUUUUAGAGACGGAAACACUUUUGGCUCUUCUCAUUUACAAAGAGGGGAAAAUUGCUUCUCGUUUGUAUUUUUUAUGAGAGUGAACAAUGGAAUUCGACAAUCUGAUAACGCCUGAGUAUACCUAAGACGAUUUACAGCAUUGGUAUAACAUUAGUCAUCAUCCUUACCAUCAGAGGUUGGGCAUUACUGUGUUCGAAUCUUAGGACUCGAAGGAAGAGUUGCUCAGUUUCCAUGGCGAAUAAGGGACUGAGAUCUCCACGAUCCCUACUGAAGGGGGUCACCAGUCCGUCACAGAUGACAUUAGUAGACUCCCUUAUAUUGGUUUCAAAUGUUGGCACAAGGUCAGCAAGUUCAAGGGUGGGGUGAAGCCGAUUACAUCGACCCCUGCCCCCCUGUGUUCAACUGAAACUUAUUGACCCCGAAAGGGAUGAAAGGUAAAGCCCCCGACGAGAGUUUGAACUCAGAACAUAAAGACGGACGAAAUGCCGCUAAGCAUUUUUCCCGACGGGGUAACGAUUCUGCCAGCUCACCCCCUUAGUAGCCCUAUAUUAAAGGCUUACUUUGGUAGAAUACCCCUACAAAAAUUAAUAGAGAGGAGUAAGAAAGAGGUAGAGGGGCAGGGAUAGUCACACCCCUGACCCUGGUGCACUGAUACGAAAGGGCACGAAAUUUCCUCUGUUCUACAAUUUCUGUUAAGCUGGUGGUGGUGGUGGUGGUGGUGGUGGUGGUGGUCUUACCCCAUUCAUCUUGUCCCCUUCUUUCUCGGAAGCUGGAAAACUUUGUUAAGUCGACUGAUAACUUAGAUAUAAGAUCGGGAAAUUGGGGGACGGAAUAGUGGUCGAUAUCGACCUUCGGUAUUUUGAUCGGUAUUUUAUAUCGUCGGGCCCCGAAAGGAUAAAAUGUGAAGUUGAUUGCAGUGGGAUACGAAAUCGGAACCAGAAAUAGUACCACAAAUCGUUUUGUCAGACCCUUUAAAGGGUCAAUUUGGCACCCAUGGACCCAUUUGAUCCCUAUUUUAUUCACAGCUAUUCUAUUCAAUGUUUGAAAAAUCUUUUUAUAUAAUUAUUAUGUAUUAUUAGAAAUUGCAUAAAAAGAAAUUUUUUAAGUAUUUUGUGUUUUGGAGAAAUAUAAGCAAUUUAUUGCAGGCAAAUGUUAAGAACAAAAUCUCAUUUGGGCCCCAAGAGCCAUAUGGCGAUUGAGGGCCCCAAGAGCCAUAUGGCGAUUUGGGCCCCAAGAGCCAUACGUCGAUUGAGGACCACUGCUUUAACGUGUCUCUCCAUUUAAUGCUCCUAAUCAUGGUUCCAAAUUUAUGCACGGGGCCAGCAGGUUUUCAAAGGAGGGGGGUGGUGAGUCGAUUGCAUCGACCCCAGUACUCAACUGGUACUUAUUUUAUCGACCUAGAAAGGAUGAAAGGGAAAGUCGACCUCGGUCGAAUUUGAACUCUAAUGACCCCUAAUAAUCCUUUCUACCGUAGGCACAAGACCUGAAAUUUGGCGGGGAGGAGGUUUGUCGAUUACAUCGACCCCAGUGUGUAACUGGUACUUAUUUCAUCGACCCCGAAAGGAUGAAAGGCAAACUCGACUUCGGCGAAUAUUCCUCCCUUCCUGGGCUCUCAGGUCGGCAAAUGCGCCCCACCUCCAUGGGUGUAGCCAGGAUUUCAAAUGAGGGGUUUCUUAAUUAAUAGGAUAGAUCCACUAUUAAUUGUCUAAUUACAACUUACCCUUUAUUUGUUUCAGUCAUUAGAUUGUGGCCAUGCUGGGGCACCGCCUUCAGGAAUUUUAGUCGAACGAAUCGGUCCCGGGACUUACUUUUUUAAAGCUUGGUAUUCUUUCUAUCAGGCUCUUUCAUCAAACCGCUAAGUUUACGAGGCCAUAAAUACACCAACACCAGUUGUCAAGUAGUGAUAGGGGACACACAGACACACACACACAUUUGGAUCCACUUGUCAUACACGAGGAAUUACCUUGGGUGUUAAUUCUAUUUGAAUUUUAUGACAUCUGAUGGAUUGAUAUACGAGGGGAGGGGGAGAAAAGAUCCUGGUUUUAAGGGUCCCGCGAAAGGCCUAUUUGGGGGCCCAACCUUCCGAGUUCUUUUACAGGAUCGUUGCAAUAAGUGUGUGAAUCUGAGAAUGAAAUAUGUUCAAUAAAAUCGCAAUUUAUUGUUCCUCCUGUAUUUUCUAUUACUCAAAACCAAGAACUUUUCAGCAUUUCCACCAAGUUAACAACUUCGUCUUAACCCCUGAGUGCCUUCUAGAUAUCGAACUGGAUUUAUUAAUCUCUUUUACCUUUUGUUAUAUAUUGUGCGUGUGUGUUUGUAUACAUACACAUAUGUAUGUAUACACACACACACACAUCUACGAUAAGCUUCUAUCAGUUUCCGUCGACUAAAAUCACUUGCAAGGCUCACUCAACGAGCCACACAGAAGGACUGAACCGGGAACCAUGUGGCUGGGAAGCACACUUCCUCUCACACAGCCACUCCUCCUUCAUUAUAAAUUAAUUAGUGUGAAACACGAAAUUAUAUUAAUGAGGUUUGAGGUCUGUCAUGUGAAGCCUCAGAGCUCACGGGGCCGGAGCUUGACCCGGUUUCCAUGGACUGAAAUUGCGGUAUUCCCUCCCUGAACGGGACGCCGGUCCGUCGCAAGGUUAACUUCCCAACUAUCGCUGCAGGGUUUCCUAUUUACAGCUGAAUGGACUGCGGCAAUGUGAAAUCAGGUGUUUUGCUCAAGGCCACAACGUACAACCCGGUCAAGGAAUUGAAACCACGAUCUUACGGGCAGGAGUAAUGAAGCCUAACAACAUUAUAGGUGUAUGGGCAGUAUUUUCCAGAGUCUUCUGGUAGGGGUGGUAUAAAUUCGCAUCGCGGAUCUCUCAAAGUCCAUGCUGUUCCGUAAAUAAUAAACAAUAAUAAUAUUUACAGGGGUUUCGAAACCUUUCGGCGACGAGGGCGACCCCAGCUGACUUGCUUAACUUUUAAUCACAAAAAAACCUCGGGUGACUUCUGGGUCAAGAAGGUCAGCCGGGGUCACUUUAUUGUAAUUAGAUUUGGUGAUGGAUGUGGGUGUUUUCAUCAAGUGGUCUAUGUAUUAGUUACCCUUUAAAUACAGGAAAUUUUGUAGCCUUUAAGAUCUGUACACCAGGGGUGACUGCCCACACGAUUCUGCUCUUUGCUAUUCUUCUGUAUAUUUAUUUUUAUGUUUAUGUUUUUAUUAUAAAUUAAGAUUGUGUUGUCUAUACAUCAGUGCCAUAAAAUAUAUUAUGGCUACUCAGUGGCUCUCUUCUCCUGCUGAUGUAGCAUCCCACAAUGAACCUGGUCUCCCACUACGGAGAUGGUCUGCCUCCACAGAGUUGGUCUCCCAUUCCGGAUGUGGUUAGGCCCUACAGACGUGGCUUCCAACUAUGUACAUGGUCUGCCCCUACACAGUAAUUUCACUCAAAAUGUUCCUGUUUGAGGGAGGGCACGUACCCU
rnacentral:lncRNA from 1 species